ensembl:lncRNA
AAAACAACAAUUAUUUAUUUAUCAUCAGUACAGGGACCUUGAAACAAUAACAAACUGUUCAGCUGCCUAAAAAAGGUCUUUUUAUAUGUUUGUGGGAAUGUCAGAAGGCUGUUGAUUUUCUCAAAUGUUCUGACUGAGUUUGGGACAAUGGGUGGAGCAACUUCUACCUUCUGCAGUCCUCAUUGGUGAAUUAGAGCUGCCUGUAGCUUUUUAACAAUUUUUUGUCUUGAGAUCAAGUAUAAUCCAUGUUGGAAUUACUGCCCUGUGAAUUCCAAGCUCAAGACAAAAGUAGGGUAAAGGUAGAUACAAAAUAGAAGCAAGGAAAUGAAAUCUGAAGGAACUGCAAAUGGAGGGGGGGUUUGGUAUUUUCUUUAGAGAAGAAGCACCUGAAAAUUUACUUCUAUGCAUUGGAAAAUAAAUUGUUUAGUUUAGUAAUCUUCCAGCAGAAAAGAAACUGUAUUUGAGACUUUCAGACUAUCAAACAGGAGGAAAAGCAGCAGCUCAAAACAUCUUGCCUGGUUUAUGAAAACGGAAAUAACACCACCAGAUGAUGGAAGAAAAAUACUUUGCAAAACAUGGGAAUAAGGAUACAGUUCAUCUACAACUGUGAGUCUGAAUUAAAAAGAAAAUUUUUCAAAAGAUCACUAUGCUCCAACUUGCAAACCUCUGCAUGUUAUUGUGUGAUAAUAAUUCAGAUGGGCUGGUGAGCCCUACGUAAACUGAAUGUCUUUUUAAUAAAAAAAAAAAACUUUUCAAAACAGCAGAUUGAAGAAUAAAUAAAGUAAGAAAGAUAUUUUAGGUGGCUCUGGGGAUAGGAGAUGAGGUUGUGAGAGUUUUCUGCGGGAAAUCCAGUCACAGGUGAAGGAAAACGUGGCAUGAAAAUUGGAAUAUCUGAGGAACCAGAGAAGAGUCUGAAAGAGAAGAAAGCCACCAGAAGGAGUAUGGCAGUGAUGAAGCAGAUUCUCCGAUCCAGAAAUCUCUUGCUCGUUGUUCUCAUUCCACUUCUGCUGCUUCCUCUUCCACUCAUAUACCCCAGCAGUGUAAGUAUAUUUUCAUUUUCUUUUUACCAAAGCCUCUGAGUGCAGCAGGUAGUCCUGCUGAUUAAGUGUGCAGCAUGCAAAAAGAAAGACAAAGAUGUCAAGAAGCACAGAUCUUAGAAAAAUCAAAGACUCAUAUUUGAAGGACUGUGAGGGUCACUGAGAAAUCAUCACUAGGAGCUAGAGCUACCUUGUGGUGUCACAAGAAGAGAGGAAGAGCCAGGUGAAGCUAGAAAAGUAAUGCUUUAAAGCAGAAAUGUUGCAUCUCUUUCUAAAAUAAUAUUGUGUGGAAGAGGGAACAGAGCAAACACAUCCAUGACAUUUUCUUUAAAAAGAGGUCUGUAAAAUGAAUGCUUAUAGAGUCUUUAGUUUUUAGUUAUAAGUAUGCAUGGAGGGACUAUUUCAAGUAUGGGUUUAUAAAGACAGCAACUCAGGUGUGGCAGGAGCUGGGACUGAGUGACAAUGCGUGGCACUGACUGCUCCAGAGCAGCUGUAGGCAUGUCUGCUGGAACAUUGCAGCUCUGACACUGGCAUACACAGCAAUGCAAAGGAGGAAUAUUCUGUGCUUAACACACAGACCAGGGAAAGGAGUGAGUGCAGCUGGGUUCUUGACACUGCUUUGGAGAUACUGAUUGCCUUGACCACAUGGUAAAGUCCUCUCUUUGCACAUCUCUGCAGUUGUAACCCAUAAAAUAGCAGUGCUUUCCUACCUUAAAGACUUUAACAUACCAAAAUCUGCAAUGUAUUAAAGAUCUGCAGCUUUUCCUUCCCCAUAGACCUAGAAAUAAAUCUGUCCAAAAAGUGCAGCAAUAUCCACUCCAUCCUCUACCCUGCUAAAGAUUCAUUUUUCCUUAAAGUAUCAGGGGAUUUAUGAAUACCAGUACUUUACCCCAUGCAAAGGAUUAGAAAUUGAAUAGCUGAUUUCAAAAACAAAACAGUAAGAUUUUGUUUGGAAAAUAAACCAGGAUUCAUAGAAAGAAAAAGUUCCCACACCGCUGAACUGUAUGUUGCACUUUGAGUUUUCCUGCUUUGAACUUCAGUGUAUUUUGGCUGUUCUCUUACAGUGCUUUUUCAUCUCUUUUAUCUCAAGAGAAGGAAUGAAUAACAGAUUCUUCCGGGAACAGAAAGGCUCACCCUUUCACAGUGGCUUGUCCUACAGAAGGGUUUAAUCUCCCCUGAUGUCACUGGAAGGGUGACAUGAAAAGAGAUGCUCCCUGAUGCUCAGCCAAGGGGAUUGUAAAGCACCUUAUGGCUGCUGAGGCAGGAGUUCACUGACAGGAUUGCUGCAAGAAUUGCUGUUGUACAAAUAAAGCUCCUCUGUGCUGUCACUCUGCACCUCGUGGUGCUGCUUUGCUGCAAAGUGAUGUGAAAAUCCAUCCAGUGGAGAUUUAGAUCCACUUUGUAUAUAUGUGAGUGACCACAGAGGGUAAAGUACAGCUGAAAAUCUGACCAAGAGCUGGGCAAAUGUUUCUAGUGCUGUUAAGAAAACAUCUACACCAAGUAAACUCAGCUGACAGUACACUAUCCAAGUGCUUUUGUGUAUAUUUUACUUUGUUACAACCCAUUGACUAUGAUUACUUUUUAAAUUUGAAGAUUAAAUGCCUGCAUUUUUACAAUUAUAUUAGGGUUAUUUUGGGUUUUUUAUAGAGAUUGAAAUUACCAGGUCAUUUAAAUUUGCAUUUCUGCAGGGAAUCAGCUUGAAGUUUCUUUGAUAAUGCCAGCACAUCUCUGCAAAGUUCAAAGGAGCACUACAUGUGUAGUGGCAAGAGAGAUCAAAGGGAGCAUAAGGACUCAGAAUUGUUGUAGAUGCUGCUAAUGGGAAUAAAGUCCACAGCUUCUUUUAUAUUAUUUUGUGAAAAGAAACGGUUGGAUGAAGAAUAAAUUUGAGAAAAUUUAUUCAAAUUCUUUUUCCCCUUCUGGAGUUACAACUGAACUUGUACCACAGAUUUGGACAUACAUAAAUGCCUUUCAGGUAAAAAAAAUGUGUGUGCUUUACAAACCGAGGGUCUUUUUCAUUCUGUCCUUAUUUCCUUCAUUGUUUGCAGUGACAUGUGAGCAUUUUUGCUUCUUUUUUUGUAAUCUUUAUCCACUUUUUUGUCAUAAAGCUACCACAGAUCUCACAAGGCAUGCCACGUGAUUUCAGCUAGUUGAGGACAAGCUUUCUGUGACCACUGUUCCUGUGGCCACACUGCACCCAGUCAAGAACAUUUGGAUGACUCCUGAAAGUCACCUGUUGAGCAGAGCUGUGAGACCUGCAGUUCAGGGGAUUUUGGCAUCUUGAUAUGCCAAAUCAGCAGAAUGGCCUCUAAAGCAUUAACAUGCUCUGAAGAACCACAGUUGACAUAUUUUCAUUCACCUUCCGUUUUAUUUACCAAAUAAAGCUGAAAGAUGGAAUUUUUAAAAAUUAUUAUUUAUUAUUAUUAUUUAUUAUGUAAUUAUUUUCCAAGAUGAAGAAUGGAAUUUCAACAUAAUCCCAUAAAAUCAAAGAUGUUAUUCCGGAGGCUGGACUACCACCUUGCAGAGCUUAACCACAUAUCUGCAUCCAAGAUAUGCAAUGAGCAAAAAUUCCAAUAGAAUUUAUUCUUCCUUUUAAUCAUUCUAAGAUUCUUGAAUAUUUUAGUUACAGAAGUUUUAUGCAUGAUCCUUAGUGUGGAGUUUUUAGCCAUAGCUUCCUUUCAGCUCUUCUUUUAACCUAAGGGACUGACUGAAGAGAGAUAAUUAGAUGACAGUCCCUCCAACCAUCACGUGUUUUCCUUUUCCCUGCUUCAAGCUCUGAGGUGGGUUUAACAUAAUUUUUCAGCUGUAAAACAGUAAGUGAGGAGGGUGAAACAGUUAAAAUUACACUGCCACUGAUUCAGUGUAAUACUUAGUAGCUCUGGUAACCAUUAAUUAAAUGUAUAAACUCAGUUCAAUUAAAUAGAAGAGAUUAAUAUGGUUUCUCUUGGAAACGAACUGAGAAAAUAAAUAAAGUUGCCAGACAAGCCGAUUAAGUUUUUAGUGGAGAUUAGCAAGCUUGGCUUUCCCAGUACUUGCUUAAAAUUUUGUACCAUUUAAAAAUGCAAUUUAUUUGGGUUUUUUUCUUUUGUAAAAUGAUUACAGCCUAGUGUACAGGAAACACAAAGACUUAGUGCCCAUCCCAGUAAGGUUUUGGUAGAGAUGCAAAUUUCCUCUAUCCUAUUCCAUUUUCACUACCAGCCUACUUUUUUUUUGCCACACCCAGAGGAGUAAUAGGAAAUGACAUAAUUGCUCAAAGAAAUUAGAGAGAAGUACAUUUUUGGAGUGAGAAAAUGGUUUGGCUACCCCUUGGAUCUUACAUCUGGACUGCUCUAAAAUAAAAAAAUCAUUGAUUCUUCUUUAAUUAGAAGUUAUUUUUCUCCUCAUACAACUGCUGAAUCUGAUACAGGGACCAUACAAACAUUAGCAGAAGCUAAUGAGUUAAAAAUUAAAAAUAUGUUGGAAGCACUAGGUCACAAAAAAGGCCCCAUGCUCUGCUCCCUGUGGAAUAUUAACCUUGAUGCACAAUGUAGUUAAACGUGACUGAGCAGCAAGUUGGCUAAUUCAGAGCUAAAUUUCUCCAGCAGCCUUGCAGAUAUUCUUUAUGACCUCUCAAGUAAUUGGAGUUUAUCUGCUCAAAGGAACUUAGGUUUUCUUAUAAAUCUAUUUCAGUUAUUUUGGUGGCCCUGCUUCAUAGAAUCACAGAGUCAUAAAAUCAUUAAUGUUGGAAAAGACUUCUAAGAUCAUCAAGUCCACCUGCUGACCCAGCACUGCCCUGUUCACCACCAAACCAUAUUCCCAAGGGCCACAUCCACGUGUCCUCUGAAAGCUUCCAGGGAUGGUGGAUCCAUUACCUCUCUGGGCAAUCUAUUCCAAUCCCUGACCACCCUGCCACUGAAGACAUUUUCCCUAAUACUCGAUAUAAACCUAACCUGGCUUUGUUGAAUUAUAACUGUUUAAUGUUACACUUUUCUGAAAAAGGAGUCAGAGCAAGAUCUGGCAGCUAAUUUAAAUCCAGGCUUCUGAGUAACUUUGGUUACAGUUCUUGCACAAGUAAAGGAAAUAGUACAUACCAAUCUAUUUUAACUUCUUUUCUGGGCUGUGUUCUGCCUGUUGUUAGCAUAAGCUGGACUUCAAAACAAAAAGAUGAACAUCUGAUUGUGGCUUUUUUAGACGUAAUGUAAAAAUGACAUCUAUAAAGAUGAAUUUAAAUACAAGCUAUUGAUUAAUUUCAUUGAAACCACAUCCCUGUAUAAUUUCACUAGGCUUUACCACCUUGUUCACAAAACUGAUUGAAAACAAUGAAAUGUAAAACAUGCUCUUCAAUUUGCACAAGGAUCUGUGAGAAUUGCUUGUGAGACCUCUUGAAAGCUGCUUUAUUUAGAAGUCAUCCAGCCAGGAUAGAUGUAUAAAAUAUAAAAUUAUAUUUUAAGAGACUCAAACAGUAUUUGUGAUCAGUGAAUUUUCUACACAAU